UCUGUCAUGGCGCACUGAGCAUCAAAAUACUUCCUGCAGUAAACAUCGGUGUGCCGACGACUAUAGAUAGUGUGAUCGGCCUCGUGAAAACAAUCAGCGAUCGUUGAAACCUCGACAUUUAACAUUACGCCGUUUCAUUAAGAUAGAUGAUAUCUGGCAAUUGACGACCCCUAUCACGUGACUGUCAUCGCAGUGUUGUCACAGUAUGUGACCAUGCCCUAUGUAGACAAGUCCGGCAGAACAUGUGGUUUUCUCAAUAUUGAGGAGAUCGAAAAUAGCGGCAGUUUUAUACGGAGAUACUUCCUACUCGAUCAAAACAAUGAACGUUUGCUGUACUACAUGGACAACCCCAAUAACCUGCCUGCAACAUGGAGGAAUACGGUGGGGGAAAUAUUCCUACAGUAUGUGUCCAAGGUAAGCGAUGGGAAGAAGCUUCGGCCUAAGGUCAGCAACUGUUUUGUCAUCAAUGUGGCUGGGCGCCGGUAUUUUAUGGAGGCAGAAGAUGAAGAUGACAAAACAGAAUGGAUAGAGGCCCUCAACAACGCCAGCAAGAUCACGGUCCCUCAGGAUGAUGCAGUCAAGAACCUGCGCACAACAGAAUGGCAGGCACGCGACCUAAGUCAGAAGUCCUAUGUGACCGAGAUCGCUGGCGGUGUGGUGUGUAAGAUGCCAGUGCAGACUGGCGAGGAUGUGUCUGGUGAGAGCAGUAGUGAGGAUGAGGAGUCCACGAGUCGGUCCUCCUCCUCCGGACGUGUCUCCCCUUCCAACUCGCUUUGUCGUACCCUCGGUGAGGCCCCUCGGACAACUUCCUCAAGGGGGAGCACGUCGCUGAAGGCAGGGUACGGGGUCAAGCAGGGGGCAGUUAGAAAAAGUUGGAAAAGACGUUUUUUCCUUCUCCAUGAAAAUGGAUUUAGCUAUUAUAGGAAUGAACAGGACAAAAGCCCGAUUCGUACAGUUCCAGUGUCUGAAAUUUUAGAAGCCAGACAAUCAUCAGGUGCUCAUGUAAACAGGGAUAAUUUAUUUGAACUCAUCACAUCAAAACGGAUAUUUUAUGUACAAUGUGAUACACCCGACGAAAUGCUCAGCUGGAUUGAUGCCAUUCGUUCGCUGCUCCGGAGUCGAAAGAUGGAAGAACGAAAGUCUAUGCAAGAUACAGAAACCCACCAAACACUAGAAGAUGACAUCUGUGGCAAGACUUACCCCAAGGAAGUGUGGCUGCGUGAUCGACUUGGUGGAGAAGUUGGUGGGCGUGGCAAGUUACGGAAGAAGAACUGGAUGUUCUGGUGACAGGAAGUGACGUCAGCUUCACCAUGGAGUCUUCACCUCUUGCAUUCAUCACAGGGUUUGGACCUGGUGGAUACUGUCAUAGUGCUUUUGGCCCACAGUGUAUACAAUAUUGGCUUGACCUUGAUAUGACUAAUACCAUCAUUACAUAUUUUUAGUGUUUGUAUAAUGAAAAGAGGACUAUGAAUUCUUGUUACAUUUAAACUGACAUAUCCUUUUCUUAAAUGUUCAAGGGACAAUGUUAUGUAUCACAACUACCACAAAUGGACUGUUUGUGUUGUGUCCAGUCUAGACUGACAGUAGGGCCAGGUGCCUGUGUCCAGUCUAGACUGACAGUAGGGCCAGGUGCCUGAGGCCAGUCUAGACUGAAUGUAGUGCCUGUGUUCAUUUUAGAAUGACAGUAGGGCCAGGUGCCUAUGUCCAGUCUAGACUGACAGUAGGGACAGGUGCCUGUGUCCAGUCUAGACUGACAGUAGGGCCAGGUGCCUGUGUCCAGUCUAGACUGACAGUAGGGCCAGGUGCCUUUGUCCAGUCUAGACUGAAUGUAGUGCCUGUGUCCAGUCUAGACUGACAGUAGGGCCAGGUGCCUGUGUCCAGUCUAGACUGACAGUAGGGCCAGGUGCCUGUGUCCAGUCUAGACUGACAAUAGGGCCAGGUGCCUGUGUCCAGUCUAGACUGACAGUAGGGCCAGGUGCCUGUGUCCAGUCUAGACUGACAGUAGGGCCAGGUGCCUGUGUCCAGUCUAGACUGACAGUAGGGCCAGGUGCCUGUGUCCAGUCUAGACUGACAGUAGGGCCAGGUGCCUGUGUCCAGUCUAGACUGACAGUAGGGCUAGGUGCCUGUGUCCAGUCUAGACUGACAGUAGGGCCAGGUGCCUGUGUCCAGUCUAGACUGAAUGUAGUGCCUGUGUUCAUUCUAGACUGACAGUAGGGCUAGGUGCCUGUGUCCAGUCUAGACUGACAGUAGGGACAGGUGCCUGUGUCCAGUCUAGACUGACAGUAGGGCCAGGUGCCUGUGUCCAGUCUAGACUAAAUGUAUUGCCUGUGUCCAGUCUAGACUGACAGUAGGGCUAGGUGCCUUUGUCCAGUCUAGACUGACAGUAGGGCCAGGUGCCUGUGUCCAGUCUAGACUGACAGUAGGGCCUGUGUCCAGUCUAGACUGAAUGUCGUGCCUGUGUCCAGUCUAGACUGACAGUAGGGCCAGGUGCCUGUGUCCAGUCUAGACUGAAUGUAGUGCCUGUGUCCAGUCUAGACUGACAGUCGGGCCUGGUUUCAUCUACAACAUAGUCAGGUCACAGGAAGUAGAUGGUGCUAGCAGCUAGCCUAACUUUCAACUAAAACAUAGGUCACAGGAAGUAGAUGGUGCUAGCAGCUAGCUUCACUUUCAACUAAAACAUAGGUCACAGGAAGUAGAUGGUGCCAGCAGCAAGCCUCACUAUCAUCUAAAAUAAAGAUUGAUCAACCCCCAGAUUCCUGAUUGAAGGAGAAAUCCCAGGGUUAGGCAGAUAUUGUUUGUGUCUGUAGCCUACUCUGUGCAAUUUUAUUACCAGCAUUUGUGAGACGAUAUACUGAAACUUAUAUACAGUAUCAUCAGUUGCUUAUGACCGUUCUCAGCUAAUAAUAGCCAAUAUGUAUACAAACAAAUCUGCUGAAAAUAUGUCAAGAGUUCUGACUCGUAGGCAAAAUUGUUUUUGACACACACUACCAUUUUUGUGGUGCCAUUCACAGAUCAUCAGCCUCUUGAUGGAAGAAGUGUAAUUAUCAGCAUUGUUAGUGGAUGAAUUAAUGUCCAUCAUAAAGCCUUUCAAUCUUGUUGGGGAAAGCAAAUACCUCCCUAUUGAAAUCACUGACACUGAUGACAUCAGCAUGUCCCACCGGGUACCCACUGUUGCCAUGCCUCCCCUUGUGACCUGACAAGCAGUCCACCAAUGCUGUGAUAAGGCAUGCAUAAAACUGUUGAGCUUCCAUUGCCCAAACAACAUUAAAUUUUGGUGUUUACUCAAACAUUGUAUUGACAUACCUACCAAAUAUUUGGCAGUAAGAAUGUUUGCACUGUAUUGGGCUUGUUUUGUGAAAGAAAAACAAUGUUUAUGUUAAAGUUGCAUACCAUCAACCGCGCCUAAGUGGAAAUAGGAGUGAAUAGAACCACAACCUUUAUUCUCGGGCUACGGCCUUCCAUUUGGCUCAACUGGCCACAGACCAAAAAAGCUUGUUCAGUGGCAGUGUCUGGCAUCCAGUAUCUGGGCAAUGUCCUAGUUUGCUGUUCCAGAUGAUAACCAAAACAAAUAUUGAUCAAGUCAGUUUGUACACAUAAACCACACAGGUUGUCAGGGUUUCUGGUAGUCAUGGAUCACUUGGAUCACUUGCAUGGCUGUGGCUUCAGUAGUGACAAGACAGGAUGACAAUCUGUAAACCAGUUGAGCACAGUUCUCAUUAUCAGACUUUCUACAUCCCGGCUUUGUAGUUUCUUCUUGUACCUCAUUCCCCUCAAUCCCCACUCCUCCCAUCCCCCACCCCGAACACCCACUCUCCUUCCAUCCCUCACCCUGAACACCCACACACCUUCCAUCCCCAACCCUGAACACCCACACUCCUUCCAUCCCCCACUCUGAACACCCACACUCCUUCCAUGAUCCAUUCCCCCACACUCCUCCCAUCCCCCACCCCGAACACCCACACUCCUUCCAUCCUUCACCCCGAACACCCACACUUCUCCCAUCCCCCACCCCGAACACCCACACUCCUUCCAUCCCUCACCCCGAACACCCAUGCUCCUUCCAUCCCCCACCCUGAACACCCACGCUCCUUCCAUCCCCCACCCCAAACACCAACACUCCUUCCAUCCCCCACCCUGAACACCCACACUCCUUCCAUGAUCCAUUCCCCCACCCCGAACACCCACGCUCCUUCCAUCCCCCUCCCCGACCACCCACACCCCAAACAUCCACACUCCUCCCAUCCCUCACCCUGAACACCCACACUCCUUCCAUUCCCCACCCUGAACACCCACACUCCUUCCAUGAUCCAUUCCCCCACCCUGAACACCCACACUCCUCCCAUUCCCCACCCCGAACACCCACACUCCUUCCAUGAUCCAUGCCCCACCCUGAAUACCCACACUCCUUCCAUCCCCAACCCCAAACACCAACGCCCAAUCUUUUGCUCACAGAAUAUUUGAGAUUGUUAUUCCAGAGCUAUAUUGUACAAACAAAAUCUUGCUAUUUUCCCACUGCAUGAUGGAUUACAGAGUUACAUCAGUAAUACUCACCACACAAUGAAUAUUGUCCUAUAAGUGGACAGAUGAUUGUUUGAAUGCUUGUUGUUGCCUCAUUGACAGCUUAUAUAUGAUUCAAGGGUAUUGACCACCUUUUCAGUCUUUUUGUCUUUCCCAUAAUAUUUUUGUUCCAAAAUUAUUCAUUUUGAACAAUCAUUUGUAAUGUGAUGUAGUGGCAUCAAUCCUUGCAUUUUCUUCAUUUUGUGAAGUUUUAUUCAGAUUUACACAAAUGAAGAAAAGGAAAUGCUGUUGCAAAUAAUGAAUUUUAAUGACAAUAUGGUGCAUGAAGCCAUUGCACAGAUUUUCUUCAUGGAAGAACUGGUUUGCAGUUCAUCUUUAAAAUGGUUCAGCUUCAUGAGAAUAGGGUUCCUAUUCAUUGUCUGUACUUCCCAAGACGUUCCUCCAUCACCAGUGAAGGGGGCACGGGUGGCCCAGUCGUCUAAGGCGCCGCGAUUCACUGUGCAGAGUUGCGUUCCUUGGCACACCAGAAACCUAUGAUUGUGGGUUCGAAUCCCAGA
rnacentral:misc_RNA from 1 species